rnacentral:lncRNA from 1 species
CAGGAUCAAAAAUGAAAUUCGGUCUUACCUUUCCAAAAUGAAUCAAAAAGUUCAUGGAUAGAAACAAAUCCGAACCACAAAACAGUCGAAAGGCAUAAUCUCGAAAGUCAAAAUUGCAAAAUCCAAACCCUUUUAACAAGAACAAAGAAUAAUAAUCUCCGGGGUCAAAAACGAAGCUUCCUCUUGCUUGGCUUGACGUUAACUUAGGAAUGUAUAUCCCAGGUUUAAAAACACGAUUUUCAUUGGUCGUUUCGCAACGCAACGAAAAUUUCUUCUUCACCAAGACUUCACACAUGUCAAGCAAAUAGGAGUUAGGCAUACAUACAUUCGAGCAAUCAAACCCUUCAUAUUUCAUUCGCACACGUAAACAAGGAAAGUUCACACCACAAUUUAGAUAAUUCACACGAUCAUCACAAGCAAACAGAUUAGAUGUCAACUUUUCAUCACACAAUCCCAAAUUUUGUUUGGGCUUACCUGGACUUACUUCUUGAUCAAUCUUGACAAUGAUAGGCUCAUGAGCAGAAAGAUAUUUCACAUUACUAUGUAAAACACAUUUAUCAACAAUCAAAUUAUGAUUUCCAAUCAGAUCAAGAUGAAAAACUUUC